UGUCACAGUGGAGGACAGAGCAGGCAAACAGCACACAGAUAGAGCUCAGGCCAAGGAGGCUCAGAACUGGGCCUCCAACCUCAACCAGGUCUCAGUGGAGUCAGCGGAAUCAUGGGUAGAUGAGUUUGCCACUGCAGGUCCAGAUUUCCAGCAAGCUAAGGCUGCUGUGGGGAGCGACUUGGACUUCUGGGAGAAGCUGCAGCAGGAGUGGGAGGAGAUGGCCAAGAGAGAUGCAGAAAGUCACCCCUGGCUCUCCGAUUUUGACCAGAUGCUCAGCAGCUCCUACGACAAGGGGUACCAGUUUGAGGAGGACAACCCUAC